ACUCUGGUUUUAUUUUAAUAACAAAUAAUCAAAUGUAUUUGUUUUAAGUAUGCAUAAAUGUAUAAACGAGGAUUUGAUGUCAUUCGAACUUGUUCACACCUAACAUUCAAUCUAUAUUAUAUUAAUACCUGAAGCAAAAACUUUGUACUCCUUUUUACGAAAAUAAUAACAUAAUCCUUGCUAGUAAGACGUGUAAUCUAUAGUCGAGUAUAUUAACCGUCGUUUUGUUUUUGUCUUAUAAAAUAAUAUAAAACACAUUUUCCAUAAGAAAGGUUGUAUACACGAAAUGAGAAAACUAGUUUCUUCUAUUUUUUUCUUUCUUUCUUUCUUUCUUUCUAAUUCGUGGUUAUAUAUAAAACUCGAUAUGACGUAGAGUAUGCGUAAUAAACAAAACACUAAAAAAAUCCACCUUAUGUAUUAGAAAAUCAAUUAUAAUCUUAAUUUUAUAUCUACAUUUUGUACUAAAUAAAUAGAUCAUAAUGUCGAUAAUUCACUUUACCAACCGCACAUUUAACCGAACCUUUAGCAAUUCGUAACAAAACGAGAACAUGGAAUAUUUUAAACAUAGCAUGUAGAGUUUAACGCGAAUCUGUGAUGCGACUGCACUGCAAUAAAUCACACAUGCUUCAUACAUACAUCAAAGGUGUUUUGAAAUGAAUUAUGUAAUCAGAAUUUAAAAAUAUAGCAACGACGUGUUAAAUUUGAGUUACACAAACAUUUAGAACGCUCUUUUUAAGAUAAUAUAACAUUUUACCAUAUUUUUUUAUAGAUCAAUGACUGUUCCAGUCGAAAAUCAAGAAACGAAAAUAUAAUAAUACAAAAUAAACUAUACCAAACGAAAACACGAUCCGCCAAUGUUUAUAAAUAUUGUACGAAUAAUGCAAUUUUCUUUUAAUCCUGGAAUCCGAUAUCGAGGAUGUCCAAAUAAGAAUUAUAAGCCAAUAUUUCAUUAUAAGGCGACAUAUUCUCUCAUCUACAACUUAGAGGUCAUAAAUAUCUUGGCAGCUCGAUGCUCGUAAAAAAAACAUAUCGCAAUAGAAUGUUGUUCCACUACAUUCUGUAAUAAGUUUUUUUUCUUGUUUACUUUGAUUCGCAAUUAUAAGGAAUUAAUAAUGCAUACAACAAAUUAUUUAUUUUCAUCAAUAUCUAUAAAAAUAAAUAAAUUUUAUUUGUCUGUUUGUAAUAUUAAAAUAACCGCUUUUUACUAAAUGCAUAUGGAUGU
rnacentral:misc_RNA from 1 species